rnacentral:rRNA from 1 species
UACGGGGGGGGCAAGCGUUGUUCGGAAUUACUGGGCGUAAAGGGCGCGUAGGCGGCUUUUCAAGUCGGGCGUGAAAUCUCCGGGCUUAACCUGGAAGGGUCGUUCGAUACUGUCGAGCUAGAGUGUGGAAGAGGCUACUGGAAUUCCGUGUGUAGCGGUGAAAUGCGUAGAUAUCAGGAGGAACACCGGUGGUGUAGACGGCUUUCUGGACCAUAACUGACGCUGAGACACGAAAGCGUGGGUAGCAAACAGG